rnacentral:rRNA from 1 species
GACGAACUUUGGCGGCGUGCCUAACACAUGCAAGUCGAACGGAGAAUUUUAUUUCGGUAGAAUUCUUAGUGGCGAACGGGUGAGUAACGCGUAGGCAACCUGCCCUUUAGACGGGGACAACAUUCCGAAAGGAGUGCUAAUACCGGAUGUGAUCAUCGUGCCGCAUGGCAGGAUGAAGAAAGAUGGCCUCUACAAGUAAGCUAUCGCUAAAGGAUGGGCCUGCGUCUGAUUAGCUAGUUGGUAGUGUAACGGACUACCAAGGCGAUGAUCAGUAGCCGGUCUGAGAGGAUGAACGGCCACAUUGGGACUGAGACACGGCCCAAACUCCUACGGGAGGCAGCAGUGGGGAAUCUUCCGCAAUGGACGAAAGUCUGACGGAGCAACGCCGCGUGAGUGAUGAAGGAUUUCGGUCUGUAAAGCUCUGUUGUUUAUGACGAACGUGCAGUGUGUGAACAAUGCAUUGCAAUGACGGUAGUAAACGAGGAAGCCACGGCUAACUACGUGCCAGCAGCCACGGUAAUACGUAGGUGGCGAGCGUUGUCCGGAAUUAUUGGGCGUAAAGAGCAUGUAGGCGGCUUAAUAAGUCGAGCGUGAAAAUGCGGGGCUCAACCCCGUAUGGCGCUGGAAACUGUUAGGCUUGAGUGCAGGAGAGGAAAGGGGAAUUCCCAGUGUAGCGGUGAAAUGCGUAGAUAUUGGGAGGAACACCAGUGGCGAAGGCGCCUUUCUGGACUGUGUCUGACGCUGAGAUGCGAAAGCCAGGGUAGCGAACGGGAUUAGAUACCCCGGUAGUCCUGGCCGUAAACGAUG